AUACGUAGGUGGCAAGCGUUGUCCGGAUUUAUUGGGUUUAAAGGGAGCGUAGGCGGGAGCUUAAGUCAGCGGUUAAAUGGUGCGGCUCAACCGUGCCCUGCCGUUGAAACUGGGUUUCUUGAGAGUGCAAGAGGCGGAUGGAAUUAAUGGUGUAGCGGUGAAAUGCUUAGAUAUCAUGGAGAACUCCGAUUGCGAAGGCAGUCCGCUGGGGCACGUCUGACGCUGAUGCUCGAAGGUGCGGGAAUCAAACAGGAUUAGAUACCCUGGUAGUCCGCACGGUAAACGAUGAUUACCCGCUGUCGGCGGUAGACAGUCGGCGGCCAAGCGAAAGCGAUAAGUAAUCCACCUGGGGAGUGCGCCGGCAACGGUGAAACUUAAAGGAAUUGGCGGGG
rnacentral:rRNA from 1 species